UACGUAGGGUGCGGGCGUUGUCCGGAAUUAUUGGGCGUAAAGAGCUUGUAGGCGGUUUGUCGCGUCUGCUGUGAAAAUCCGGGGCUCAACCCCGGACUUGCAGUGGGUACGGGCAGGCUAGAGUGUGGUAGGGGAGACUGGAAUUCCUGGUGUAGCGGUGAAAUGCGCAGAUAUCGGAAGGAACAUCAGUGGCGAAAGCGGCUUCCUGGUCCAGCACCGACGUUCAGGCACGAAAGCGUGGGGAGCAAACAGG
rnacentral:rRNA from 1 species